rnacentral:rRNA from 1 species
CCUACGGGAGGCUGCAGUGGGGAAUAUUGGACAAUGGGGGAACCCUGAUCCAGCCAUGCCGCGUGUGUGAAGAAGGCCCUCGGGUUGUAAAGCACUUUCAGUGAGGAAGAACGCCUGGUGGUUAAUACCCAUCAGGAAAGACAUCACUCACAGAAGAAGCACCGGCUAACUCCGUGCCAGCAGCCGCGGUAAUACGGAGGGUGCGAGCGUUAAUCGGAAUUACUGGGCGUAAAGCGCGCGUAGGUGGCUUGAUAAGCCGGUUGUGAAAGCCCCGGGCUCAACCUGGGAACGGCAUCCGGAACUGUCAAGCUAGAGUGCAGGAGAGGAAGGUAGAAUUCCCGGUGUAGCGGUGUAAUGCGUAGAGAUCGGGAGGAAUACCAGUGGCGAAGGCGGCCUCCUGGACUGACACUGACACUGAGGUGCGAAAGCGUGGGUAGCAAACAGGAUUAGAUACCCUGGUAGUC